UCUUCCUGAAGGCUUCCGGAAAGCUGUGGCUUUCCUAUGUAGGAAACCCAGCCCAGGCUGCAAGACCAGCAGAACAGGCUAAUUUUCAAUCCGAGGGCUGGCUUUUAUGAUGCCAUCAUUCCAGAACCCUGAGUUACUCAACGGCCAAUUCAACUUCAGAUUCAGCUCCGCUCGCCGAGACCCAGGGCCAGUGAGCGUCUCAGGGUAUUCCACUCAAUCCUCACAAGACCCUGCACGCUGGCGUUUAUUGCUCACAUUUCAUACAGGAUAACACUCAGGCUCAGAGGCGUGACCUACGCUGUCCAAGAAAGAGUACACGGCGGAUCUCGGGUCCGAACGCAGGAAUCCGCACCCCAAAGCUCAGGUUCCCAGCGCCCCCGGCCGGGGUCUGCUUACCCCACGACGCCUUUGCGCGGGUUAUAUGACCCCUCAAUACUCUCUUCAGCAAAACAAAGUCCACUCCUAAAAAGUGAUUUGUUAGCAUGCCAUCCAUGCCAAAGACCAACGAAGGGGCAGAAAGGCAGGAGGAGGCCUCCGAAAUGAGGGAAAAUGGUUCCCAGUACGUUGUUCAUGCUGGAUGGGACGCUCAUGAAGCCGCAGCUUCCAGGAGCUCUGCGAGUUCUGAUCCAAGUGAGGGACGUGGCAUUUUAUGAGAAACAGAACUGACUCCGGUGCCCAGGGCCUCUAGCACACUGGGGUAGACCCAGUCUCCCCUGGCUUUGGAACUCCUGGGGCCAAGGCAGGAAUGGGAGACACUGACAGGGAAUAAUCCAAGACUUAUCGUUGCCUAAGGACAUGCGCGGUAGGUGGGUGGUGGCCCAUGGCUUAGGGACUGGGGGAGAGAAAGGAGGUCUCAUUCAACUCCUUCCUUGCUCUGUGGGCUUAGGGAAAUGGCCAAAGCACAAACCAGAAUGAAGAAACGCCCCAGAACGUGUCACGGUCAGGGGCUGCGUGCCACAGCUUUUACGGAGUUUGCUGUCUGGUGGGAGGUUCCUGAUUUUUGGUGUGCUAAAGCCCAACUAGAUUUCAGAAGAAAAAAUUCCGAUGAAACUAAAAUUUCCACUGUGGAGUCACUGCCUGAGCAUUCUGCUGUUUUUGUCAUCUGAGAAAUGGGAUUUUAUUCAUAAAAACAAUUUACAUAAGUUUACAAAGCAUUCCCUCAUCAUCCCAUUUAAUCCUCAAAAAUCACACUCCAGGUACGCUUCCCCAUUCAUGACGAAGGUGUAACGUCCGAGAGGUUGAAUAACCUGCUUGCUACUGUCAUAAAGUCAGCAAUGACAACAGCCACACUGACCACCACGGUGACCAUGACAGCGUGACCACCCCAUGACUGACAUGAUCCCAGCCAUGGCCACAGCUAAGGUCCACACUCCACAUUUGGUCUCCAUUCCAAGCUAAUGUACAUCUAUAUCAUCAUUCCCAUUUUUGUAGAUGAGACAAUCCUGCUGGAGAUCACACAUCUAAUAAGUGAGAAAAACAGAACUGGAACCCGGAGCCGUCUGAUUCCAGGGCCUGAGCUCUAUCAACCCUUAUCGCUGCCAAAAGACCACAGGCUUGAGCUGCUCUUCUCUGGAUGAAUUGAUGGGGAGUUUCUUACACAGUUGGCCCUUGAACAACAUGGGUUUGAACUGCAUGGGUCCGUUUAUAUGUGAAUUUUUUUUCAACUAAACACGGAUGGAAAUUACUGUA